GGACUUUGCAGUUUGGCUGAGCGAGAGCUGAACUUUUUCUUCCCUCCUUCACCAGAGUCUGAGCUCUCGUCUUCUACUGAAUCAGUUUAAUAUUCAGAUGCAGAAGAAGAAAACAAGACGUACCUGCUGCUGUCACCUGAUUGGCUGCCACGGCUGCAGGAAACAGGUGAGCAGGUCGGCUGAGUUACGGCAGCAGCAGGUAAAC